UGAGGAACAUGACCUUCGGCGGGGGAUAGCCGGCCCAACGGCCGGGUAAUACCGCGUACGACCACUCGGGGACAUCCCCAGGUGGUGAAAGCAGCAAUGCGCCGAUGGAGUGCCUCGCGGCCUAUCAGCUAGUUGGUGAGGUAACGGCUCACCAAGGCGACGACGGGUAGCCGGCCUGAGAGGGUGACCGGCCACACUGGGACUGAGACACGGCCCAGACUCCUACGAGAGGCAG
rnacentral:rRNA from 1 species